AUUCACGAAAACAAACAAAAGAUAAAUAAAAAACAGAUCAAGGAUUACCAAAAAAAAAAGAUAAAUAAAAACGAUCGCAAAACUAUGGGCCGGGAUAACCAGCCUAUUAAUUCAAAGUGGGCUUAGCUUAAGACCCACGUUAAAAAAUUUGGAAAUUAGAAAAAAGUAAAGUUACGUUAACUAAAAAAAAGGAAAUUAGACAUUACAAAAAAAAGGAAAUCAGCCACUGGCACCGCCGUAAGUAGUGUUUAUAAAAAGGGGAAAGCUAUCAGAGAGAGUUAGAAUUGUGUUUUGCGUUCUUCUUUCUCUGUUUGUCAUAUUUCUCUCGAUCGCUAUAGCAUCAUGACGGAAGACCAUUUCUAGCGAUAAUCACUAAAUUUUGUAGCGAUAAUCACUGUAAGAAUUCUUCUCUCUUGCUUUCUAGGGUUACUAAAUUUCACUAUUAUUAGUUUUUUUUUUUUUUGUUUUGUUCUUUUGGUUUUCUUUUUGUUUUGAAGCGGCUUUGAUAAUUUGAAAACAAAACGAAUCGCGACUCUGCGUUUCAAAGUUUUCUGAGAAUUAUUACAAGUUCGUUUUUCCUCUUUUUUGUGUUACUUGAUUUUGUUUAAGAGGGUUUGGUUUACGUUUUUUUCUGUUGCUUUUGUAGCGCUUUCUAUACUUUGAUUAAGCGUGAAAUUGUUGCGAUCGGCUGUGGUUUGUUGCUCUGUGUUUUUUUGUUUUGUUUUUCUUAGA